rnacentral:rRNA from 1 species
UACGUAGGGUGCAAGCGUUAAUCGGAAUUACUGGGCGUAAAGCGUGCGCAGGCGGUUAUGCAAGACAGAUGUGAAAUCCCCGGGCUCAACCUGGGACCUGCAUUUGUGACUGCAUCGCUAGAGUACGGUAGAGGGGGAUGGAAUUCCGCGUGUAGCAGUGAAAUGCGUAGAUAUGCGGAGGAACACCGAUGGCGAAGGCAAUCCCCUGGACCUGUACUGACGCUCAUGCACGAAAGCGUGGGGAGCAAACAGG